GGUGUGCUCCCACCUGGCCAGGGACCACUACUGGUAUGUGCUCUCAUCUUGGCAAGUGACGGUCAAUGGAAAGAGCUUCAUGCAAUAUGAACGCUGUGUGCCCUUUGGUGACGUCAACACCAUCUGAGUCACAGAGUCUGUGCAGCUGUCCUCCAUCAACUUCCAGGUACAGAAGCCCCCUCCAGGUAGAAGGAGUUAACUGUAUGCUCCCCACAAGGACAUAGAACCUGGAAGCUUGAUGAUGUUGACUCCCGAUUACCUCACCACCAACCAAUCAGAAGACAUCCAUGAGCUGAUCACACACGCUGCAACCCUCUCCUUCACUGUCUUUAAAAACCUUUCCCUGAAAACCAUCAGGGAGUUUAGGUUUUUUAAGCACUAGCUGCCUAGACUCCUUGAUUGGUGUAAUAAAUCCUGUAUAACUCCUGCAACAAAUCCUGUACUUUCCUUCACUGCCACUCCUGUAUUAGGUUGGCUUUAUUGCACAUGGAUGAGCUAUUAUUAAGCAGAGGCUAAUCUAAUCUAGAUAGUUAUGGAUAAAUUUGCCUUAUUCUCUCUACCUGGUUGAUCCUGCCACUAAUAUAUAUGCUUGUUUCAAAGGUUAAGCCAUGCAUAAAGUGCGAAUGGCUGGUACAAUGAAACUGCAGAUAGCUCAUAAAAUCAGUUAUGGCUCCUUUGAUUGCUUGUUUAUUGCAACUGGAUUAUAGUUAGUUAUAAUAAUCAUUGCUUAAAUUCUUUGUUUUCAAAUCAUGCUUUUUGUCUCCCUGUUGCACUAUGUCGUUAUCAAUGUUACUAGCAGCAUUGCUUAUAUCCUGUCUAAUUUAUAACAUUACAGUAACUAGUGUGUAAUCAGGCUUCCAACUAAACUUCUAUGGCUAAACAUUUUGAGAAAAUCUCAUUUAUAACAUAAAA